rnacentral:rRNA from 1 species
GUGGGGAAUUUUGGACAAUGGGCGCAAGCCUGAUCCAGCAAUGCCGCGUGCAGGAAGAAGGCCUUCGGGUUGUAAACUGCUUUUGUACGGAACGAAACGGUCCUGGUUAAUACCUGGGGCUAAUGACGGUACCGUAAGAAUAAGCACCGGCUAACUACGUGCCAGCAGCCGCGGUAAUACGUAGGGUGCAAGCGUUAAUCGGAAUUACUGGGCGUAAAGCGUGCGCAGGCGGUUUUGUAAGACAGGCGUGAAAUCCCCGGGCUCAACCUGGGAAUGGCGCUUGUGACUGCAAGGCUGGAGUGCGGCAGAGGGGGAUGGAAUUCCGCGUGUAGCAGUGAAAUGCGUAGAUAUGCGGAGGAACACCGAUGGCGAAGGCAAUCCCCUGGGCCUGCACUGACGCUCAUGCACGAAAGCGUGGGGAGCAAACAGGAUUAGAUACCCUUGUAGUCC